ensembl:snRNA U4 U4 spliceosomal RNA
AGUUUUGCGCAGUGGUGGUAUUGUAGCCAAUGAGGUUUAUCCAAGGCUCGAUUAUUGCUAAUUAAAAGCCCAAUGUGUUUAAAAUGCCCCAGAACUGAAUGUGUUUUCCCUAAUUGUGUGUGCUUAAUUUUAGUCUUUAGCUUACUCUC